rnacentral:rRNA from 1 species
CUAAGAAUAUUCCGCAAUGGGCGAAAGCCUGACGGAGCGACGCCGCGUGGACGAGGAAGGCCGAAAGGUUGUAAAGUUCUUUUGCGGGUAGGGAAGGAGGCCUGGAGGGAAUGCCAGGCCGGUGACGCCGGCCCGCGAAUAAGCCCCGGCUAAUUACGUGCCAGCAGCCGCGGUAACACGUAAGGGGCGAGCGUUGUUCGGAAUUAUUGGGCGUAAAGGGCGCGUAGGCGGCGCCGCAAGUCGGGCGUGAAAUACCGGGGCUCAACCCCGGGGCUGCGCCGGAAACUGCGGCGCUUGAGUCGCGGAGGGGAAAUCGGAAUUCCUGGUGUAGGGGUGAAAUCUGUAGAUAUCAGGAAGAACACCGGUGGCGAAGGCGGAUUUCCAGCCGGCGACUGACGCUGAGGCGCGAAAGCGCGGGGAGCAAACAGGAUCAGAUACCCUGGUAGUCCGCGCCGUAAACGAUGCACACUAGGCGUCGGGGCGAGCGCCCCGGUGCCGGAGCGAACGCGAUAAGUGUGCCGCCU